rnacentral:lncRNA from 1 species
UGCUGCAAGCAGCCCCAGGCACGACCCGGCACAGCACAGCCAAAUCCUUGCUCGACCUCCAAGCCUCGCAGAGCUGCUCAGCAGGGUCCAGGAACGAGCCAAACUGAGCCAAGCCCUACCAGUACCCAAAUACCAGUAGUGAGGGCUGCACAGUCAUAAUCCAUUGCCCAGUGAUGUCACAACUUGGGGACGCUCAUUUGGGUUGCUGAGUAGUCAGUAAGUCAAUCCAGUCACCUGCUCAAUUACUUUGGAUCCCUUGAAAUACUUAUGGCUUUAGGAGACUGUUGUUAUGUUUCCUGCAACUAUAUUUUGAUGAAAGUUAAAAAGUUACAGAGUGUUCCAGAAAAACUCCCUGCUUGCCCCUUUGCCUCCUUAGCCUGGCGACGUUCCUAUCAGAGCACUUCUGCUGUAAACUCAUAUGAUUGAGGUUUUAGUGAACACACUAUCUGAAGACAGAAAUGAUUCCUUAUAUCCAAGUGAUAGACUAUACAAGACCUGAGAUUGUAUGGAUGGAGGAUGAUUCCAUACUAUGUAAAAUACUUUGCUAUUGUGGGAUAUAGCUACAUAAUCAGAAUUUCAUGCAAUGAGAAAACAAACCUUUCCUCUGGACAUCUGUUUUUUUUAACUUCGUUGGGUUUUGUGUUCUGAAAACUACUCAUGAUUAAGCUGGAAGAUGCUAGCAGUUUGGAACAUCAACAAACUUUACAACUUAUCGGAGAGAGCAAGAGGAAC